UACGAAGGGUGCAAACGUUGCUCGGAAUCAUUGGGCGUAAAGCGCACGUAGGCGGCUUUCUAAGUCGGAUGUGAAGUCCCUCGGCUCAACCGAGGACGUGCAUCCGAAACUGGAAAGCUCGAGUAUGGAAGAGGGUCGCGGAAUUCUCGGUGUAGAGGUGAAAUUCGUAGAUAUCGGGAGGAACACCAGUGGCGAAGGCGGCGACCUGGGCCAAUACUGACGCUGAGGUGCGAAAGCGUGGGGAGCAAACAGG
rnacentral:rRNA from 1 species